rnacentral:rRNA from 1 species
AGGGCACCACCAGGAGUGGAGCCUGCGGCUUAAUUUGACUCAACACGGGGAAACUCACCCGGCCCGGACACCGUAAGGAUUGACAGAUUGAUAGCUUUUUCAUGAUUCGGUGGAUGGUGGUGCAUGGCCGUUCUUAGUUCGUGGAGCGAUCUGUCUGGUUUAUUCCGAUAACGAGCGAGACUCUGGCCUACUAAAUAGCUGGCACAUUGCUACUGUGUGCACAACUUCUUAGAGGGAUUUUCGGUGUUCAGCCGCAAGAAAUUGAGCAAUAACAGGUCUGUGAUGCCCUUAGAUGUCCGGGGCUGCACGCGCGCUACACUGGCAAAAUCAGCGUGCUUGUCCUUCCUCGGAAGAGGUUGGUAAACCCGUGAAAAUUUGCCGUGAUUGGGAUCGGAAAUUGCAAUUAUUUUCCGUGAACGAGGAAUUCCAAGUAAGUGCGAGUCAUCAACUCGCUCUGAUUACGUCCCUGCCCUUUGUACACACCGCCCGUCGCUGCCCGGGACUGAGCCAUUUCGAGAA